UAACGUGAGAGUGCCCAGGGGUUGAAGAUCUUCUAUAUAUCCAAGAGAGCCAAACACAGUUUUCCAUUCAUAUGACAAUUCUGACCAAAAGCAUUAUUUCAAGUGUUGGGAUUUCAGGGGUUCCAUCAGUUCUUAAUUUUAAAAAGGCCCCAUGUCCCUAAGGCAAAAUAUAUUCAGAGAGUAACAUGUGCUAGGCUGACUUUGGAUUAAGGUGCAGCUGUUGGUCAGAUAUAGUUAAGAACAGUUUUAUUUCAUUUCUCUCUCCCUCGCAGAGGACAAUAUGCCAAACUGUACUCUCAAGGAUCAUAUGCAUUCCAUAGUGCCGGCAGCCGUACCACAAGAGAAAUGUGCACCUUCCAAACAGGUCACAGGGAUAUGCCUGUGGAUGUGUAGAGGGCGUAGCCAAGCAACCUGGGAAGUGUGGCAUACAGUACAAUUCUGGUUGCAAGCAUGCCAUAGAUGGAAAGCAGUCUAGAUGUCUAGGCCCUUUGGAAGUAGUGGAAUCUUCAAACAAAGAGUUUGAUUGACUCAAGAUCUGUCAACCCACCAUUUCUAUCAAGCACUUAAAUCAAAGACAGAUGUGCAACUCAGGGGGACGUGCCAUCCAUUUUAAAAACAGAAGCAAAUGGAAAGAUAACCUUUCCACAACAAAAGACUCCCUUAACAGAUGAAGGAAGUGAUGGUCAGGUUAUGUCAACCUUUUAGAAGCUUAGGUUCCUGUGAUAGUGACCAAUUGCUUUGUUGAUAAGAUUUGUUUAAGAAGUUGAAGAUUGAAAUACAA